CCGGCGCACGGGUGAGUAACACGUAUGCAACCUGGCCGUCACAGGUGGAUAACCGGAAGAAAUUCCGACUAAUACAGCAUAACACUCCUGAGGGACAUCCUUCGGGAGUCAAAGGAGGCAACUCCGGUGACGGAUGGGCAUGCGGCGCAUUAGGUAGUUGGUAGGGUAACGGCCUACCAAGCCGACGAUGCGUAGGGGUUCUGAGAGGAAGGUCCCCCACAUUGGAACUGAGACACGGACCAGACUCCUACGGAAGGCAGCAG
rnacentral:rRNA from 1 species